GAUGGAGAACGUAGCGAAAUGCGAUAAGUAGUGUGAAUUGCAGAAUUCAGUGAAUCAUCGAAUCUUUGAACGCACAUUGCGCCCCUUGGUAUUCCAUGGGGCAUGCCUGUUCGAGCGUCAUUUGUACCCUCAAGCUUUGCUUGGUGUUGGGUGUUUGUCCUCUCCUUUGCGUUUGGACUCGCCUUAAAGCAAUUGGCAACCAGUGUUUUGGUAUUGAAGCGCAGCACAUUUUGCGAUUCUAGCCGAUAAUACUUGCGUCCAUAAGCCUUUUUUAACUUUUGACCUCGGAUCAGGUAGGGAUACCCGCUGAACUUAAGCAUAUCAAUAAGCGGAGGA
rnacentral:misc_RNA from 1 species